GGACCAAGAAAAGGAAGAAGGCCGGAGCCCACUGUGCCCCAGGCUCAGCAUGGAGCUGGUGGAAGCAGAAGAGCCUGAAGUCUUCUGGUACUCACUGGAUAUAUUGUGUUCAACAUAUACAGCGUAUCUUGAGUUUUAUUACACAUGCCAGGCUUACACAUAUGCCAUUUUUUUAUUUGUAGAAGAGCAUGUUCGCUUGACUUUGGACAUGGACAGUAGGUUGCUUACUAUGAUGGUGAUAAGACUCCACCUGGUCUCCUGGAUAGGGGUCAUAUUCCCACACUAAGACAACAUGUCACAUGGGACUCUGCCAGUGCAGAGUAUGAACAACACCGUGUUCUUGCUGAAAACUCUUAGCCUGGGUUUCAUAGCCCGAGGUAAUCUCCAGACAACUUCAGAAUGUAGAACAGUGAGCAGCACUACUGACCUGUCUCCUUAAGACCGCCCAUGUCACCACAAAUCACACAGCUAAAAGGAGAAGAGACAUUUUGGGUUGAAAAAGAGUAAAAAGAUAAUGUAGCCACAUUUCUUUAGUUCUUUUGAACCCAAAGUGUCUCCUCAUCUUUUUAUUGUUGUCAUUGAUGGUGGUUACAUGGGCUUGUUUGUAGAGGACAGGUCAGCUGUCUGGCUCAAUGGUCUGUACUCUGAAGUUGUCUGAAAAUGUCCUCAUGAUUAAAUUCAGCCUAAGUGUUUUUCCGGGAACACUGCAGGGUCAAUGCUUCCUCACCCAUCUGCAGGUAGAGACAGUCCCAUGUGUCUACCACCAUGAUCAUGAUACCAGGACUGUUCCACCAUUUGUCUAUCACCAUGAUCAUGAUACCAGGAUUGUUCCAACAUUUGUCUAUCACCAUGAUCAUGAUACCAGGACUGUUCCACUAUUUGUCUAUCACCAUGACCGUGAUACCAGGACUGUUCCAUGAUUUGUCUAUCACCAUGAUCGUGAUGCCAGAUCUGUACUUUUCAGAGAUACAUUAUUUAUACUGAAGUAACUGGAAAAAUGGUUGUUAAAAGUAUUAAUAUCCUGUAUUCAAAUGAUCAUCCCUCAACAUUUUAUUAUUCAUUAAUCAUCCCUGGCUGUGUCAAUUAUUAUGUUUACAUCUGUACACUGGAAAUUUUCUAUUUUUACUGUAUCUUUGCUUUUGCUAGUUUCUGUUGUUGAAC